GAUUAAAUAAAAAAUUGUCAUUUUGACCCCUUAACCGGUAAAAUUUGCCCAAAAUCACGAGAGCGCAGGACUCUGUCCUGCGUUUGGUUUAGAAGCUCGUUUUCAUGUGAAAAGAUGUGGUUCUUUGUUGAAUUUAGUGGGCAUUUUUGUAAAUUCACCAUGCAGAGAGAGGGGGAGGGGAUUUUUACAAUUUCCCCAUCUUCCUUCCACUAGCUCUCGGCUGAAACACCAUAACCACCAUACUCCACCAUUCCAAACCAAAAUUCGAGGAAAUUCACACGCAAUUGAAGGUUUAGAAGGAACUUAAAUCAUGAAGAUUGAAGUGGAAGAAGACGAAUUUUGGGGUUAGGAUUUCAAAUUGAUAGAGAAGAAGAUAGAAGGAGAAGCAUCGAGAGAGAAAAGGAAAGAGUUAGAGGGAGAGAUAAGGGUAAGACGAAAAGCAGGGGGGGAAGUGGGAGGAUUAGUGUGUUAGAAAAGUAUAAGGCUGCGAAAGAUGGAAAAUAAAAAGCUUCUCUCUCUGGUCAAAUUGAAGAACAAAAAUGCUUGCAAAGAAAAGAUUGAAGGGUUUGAAGUGAAAGAGUGAUUUUGCAGAGUAAAGGAGAAAAAGGAUACAUAAAGGAUGAUUUAUUAUGAGAUCAAAAUAGGGAAGAUUUUACUACCUCAAUCAAUUGCAUUACGAACUUCAAGAUUUGAUCAACUCAAAAUUAAGUCGAGUAAAUAAUUGGGAUUGUAACAAAUUUAUCUUAUUGCUUUCAAUAUCAGUCAACUUUUGCUAUCAAUUCACUUUUAUGUUUCUU
rnacentral:lncRNA from 1 species